CGUGACCUAUUGCGGGAAGCAUAAAAUCCAGUAGUGGGCUGCUUCCAGGAAGAGCGAGAGGGACGUUGCUGCAGGAGCCAACUACUGAAGCCGUGGGUCGUCGUGUGAGAGUGUUUAAGUGUGAUUUAUCUGCGGAAUUGUUGGAGCUGCUGGGACCUCUGCUGGCAGCAUGCUUGGACACAUCCCUGCUCACGCUGGUCGCAGCACGCCCACACAGCGAAAAGGCUGCAAGCAAUUGCGAAUCAGCACACCUUGGUUUGAUGAGAGGGAGUAGCAUAAAAACCUGGUGAAUCUAAGAGACCUUUGCCAGAACGAAGCCGAUUUUCACCUGAUGUCCUCCGUGAUCAUGUCUUGCCUCACAACCUCCUCCCGGAUCUUUGCUUGCCUUCCCCGAUCCUCGACCAAUGCUUGGACCCGGACAUCGUUGCUUCUCUCCAGCCCCGACUGCUUGCCUCCCUGCUUACUACCCCUUCGCCUUCUCCUUUGGAUUCAACGAAAGAUACAUCGACAACAACCUCUGCAGUGUUGGUGACUGCAGGGCGGGGCUGAAAAGCCAGAAGAGGCAGCACGAAGGGCUGACGGAGGAAAAUACUUUAUGGACAAAAGAAGAAAGGUUGUGAAGAGAACAAAAUAAAAAGAAAAGACAUUGUGAACAAGCAAAUGAAGAAAUAUCGUGUGAGAACAAAUUAAACGAAUUGGCAAACUGGGCGACCUGCCUGUGUGAUCCAUUGGUCCUGAAGAACCUCACGACACAAGACUGUCACAGUGGCCAAAUACAAACACAUGCUACUUCCAAUCCUAUAACAUAAUUACCCAUCCAUCCAUUUUCUACCGCUUAUU